GAGCCACCGCAAGAAGCACAAACAUGAGAGGUCUAAGAAGCCCAAGGAUAAAGAGAGGAGAAAGAAGUAUAGGAACAAGGAUCCAAAGCAUAAACAUAAAGAGGUAGGUUGUUGCGUUCUCGGUACUUAACAUAGAUUCACAUUUUUGUUUCUUCUUGGUAAUUGCCUGUAAGCUUAUGGUAUUUGCUGCCCGUUUUUGGUUGGCUCUUUGAUAUUGGAGCUGGGGCCUGUGAAUGGGUGAUGGUGAUUGGGUUGGCUUUUGCAUUUUUUUUCUUUGGCAUUGGGAGUUUCAUACAGAAACAGCAAACUGAACGUUGUAGCUGUCCUGUCCAACUAUCCAAGUUCCUUGGCCGUGACAAUGAAGAUGGUGUCCGACGCAGUGCCAUCUCCGGUAAAAAAGU